GACGAACGCUGGCGGCGUGCCUAAUACAUGCAAGUAGAACGCACAGUUUAUACCGUAGCUUGCUACACCAUAAACUGUGAGUUGCGAACGGGUGAGUAACGCGUAGGUAACCUGCCUGGUAGCGGGGGAUAACUAUUGGAAACGAUAGCUAAUACCGCAUAAUAUUGAUUAUUGCAUGAUAAUUGAUUGAAAGAUGCUAUUGCAUCACUACCAGAUGGACCUGCGUUGUAUUAGCUAGUAGGUGAGGUAACGGCUCACCUAGGCGACGAUACAUAGCCGACCUGAGAGGGUGAUCGGCCACACUGGGACUGAGACACGGCCCAGACUCCUACGGGAGGCAGCAGUAGGGAAUCUUCGGCAAUGGACGAAAGUCUGACCGAGCAACGCCGCGUGAGUGAAGAAGGUUUUCGGAUCGUAAAGCUCUGUUGUAAGAGAAGAACGAGUGUGAGAGUGGAAAGUUCACACUGUGACGGUAUCUUACCAGAAAGGGACGGCUAACUACGU
rnacentral:rRNA from 1 species